UCCUGAGUACCUACCCUUCAAACUAAAGGA
rnacentral:piRNA from 1 species